CAGAAACAACAACUUCUCACCCGACACAAUAAGCGCAAGAAGAACGACAGAGCACAGGAUCACUGUAAGAACGAAAGGAACCAAGAAAAGAAUACAAGAUACCGGAAGAACGAAAGAUGGUUUCCAUGGGAAAAGGUCCACAAUUCAAGUCCAACCUUUAUGCAAUAGUCAAGGAUGUUGAGAUGGCAAACAUCACAAAAGGAGUGAAAAACGAGCUCAUCAAGACACCAUUCUGGAUAUUGAUAGAAUGUAUCUUGGAAGGGCGUGU